ACUGCUCAGUAACACGUGGACAACCUACCCUGAAGAGGGGGAUAACCCCGGGAAACUGGGGAUAAUACCCCAUAGACUAUGGAUGCUGGAAUGCUCUGUAGUUCAAAGGUCCGCCGCUUCAGGAUGGGUCUGCGGCCGAUUAGGUUGUUGUUGGGGUAACGGCCCAACAAGCCUGUAAUCGGUACGGGUUGUGGGAGCAAGAGCCCGGAGAUGGAUUCUGAGACACGAAUCCAGGCCCUACGGGGCGCAGCAGGCGCGAAAACUUCGCAAUGCGAGAAAUCGUGACAAGGGAACUCCGAGUGCCUGUAAAAUCAGGCUGUCCGCCAGUGUAAACAACUGGUGAAGAAAGGGCCGGGCAAGACCGGUGCCAGCCGCCGCGGUAAUACCGGCGGCUCGAGUGGUGGCCACUAUUACUGGGCUUAAAGCGUUCGUAGCUGGCUUGUUAAGUCUCUGGGGAAAUCUUCCGGCUUAACCGGAAGGCGUCUCAGGGAUACUGGCAGGCUAGGGACCGGAAGAGGUGAGAGGUACUCCGGGGGUAGGAGUGAAAUCCUGUAAUCCUUGGGGGACCACCUGUGGCGAAGGCGUCUCACCAGGACGGCUCCGACAGUGAGGAACGAAAGCUGGGGGAGCAAACCGGAUUAGAUACCCGGGUAGUCCCAGCUGUAAACGAUGCGCGUUAGGUGUAUCGGUGACCACGAGUCACCGAGGUGCCGAAGAGAAAUCGUGAAACGUGCCGCCUGGGAAGUACGGUCGCAAGGCUGAAACUUAAAGGAAUUGGCGGGGGAGCAC
rnacentral:rRNA from 1 species